GAUACCCGAAUGGGGAAACCCAGUGUGACUCGUCACACUAUCAUUAACUGAAUCCAUAGGUUAAUGAGGCGAACCGGGGGAACUGAAACAUCUAAGUACCCCGAGGAAAAGAAAUCAACCGAGAUUCCCCCAGUAGCGGCGAGCGAACGGGGAGGAGCCCAGAGCCUGAAUCAGCAUGUGUGUUAGUGGAAGCGUCUGGAAAGGCGCGCGAUACAGGGUGACAGCCCCGUACACAAAAGCGCAUGUGCUGUGAGCUCGAUGAGUAGGGCGGGACACGUGGUAUCCUGUCUGAAUAUGGGGGGACCAUCCUCCAAGGCUAAAUACUCCUGACUGACCGAUAGUGAACCAGUACCGUGAGGGAAAGGCGAAAAGAACCCCGGCGAGGGGAGUGAAAAAGAACCUGAAACCGUGUACGUACAAGCAGUGGGAGCACAGGUUUACCUGUGUGACUGCGUACCUUUUGUAUAAUGGGUCAGCGACUUAUAUUCUGUAGCAAGGUUAACCGAAUAGGGGAGCCGGAGGGAAACCGAGUCUUAAUUGGGCGUUAAGUUGCAGGGUAUAGACCCGAAACCCGGUGAUCUAGCCAUGGGCAGGUUGAAGGUUGGGUAACACUAACUGGAGGACCGAACCGACUAAUGUUGAAAAAUUAGCGGAUGACCUGUGGCUGGGGGUGAAAGGCCAAUCAAACCGGGAGAUAGCUGGUUCUCCCCGAAAGCUAUUUAGGUAGCGCCUCGUGAAUUCAUCUCCGGGGGUAGAGCACUGUUUCGGCUAGGGGGCCAUCCCGGCUUACCAACCCGAUGCAAACUGCGAAUACCGGAGAAUGUUAUCACGGGAGACACACGGCGGGUGCUAACGUCCGUCGUGAAGAGGGAAACAACCCAGACCGCCAGCUAAGGUCCCAAAGUCAUGGUUAAGUGGGAAACGAUGUGGGAAGGCCCAGACAGCCAGGAUGUUGGCUUAGAAGCAGCCAUCAUUUAAAGAAAGCGUAAUAGCUCACUGGUCGAGUCGGCCUGCGCGGAAGAUGUAACGGGGCUAAACCAUG
rnacentral:rRNA from 1 species